ensembl:lncRNA
CUAGGUAGUAAUUAUGGAAGUUAGGAUACUAUCCUCUCAUAGAGACUGGAAGACAGAGGCCUUAUCCUUUCUGAUUAUUACAUUUCAAAGGAAUACCUCUCAGGUCCUUGAGAAAGACACUUGGGUGUAAGACAUACAUAUUUACAAUUGAAAGGACUUUUUAAAUAACUAUAAUAGUAAAUUCUCUUGGCAACCCUGAGCUUCCUUAUUCUGGCAUUUCAAUGGAGGCCAAAGUCAUUGCAGGGCAGGAAUUAUCCUAGGGACUGGGCCUUUUGCUGCUAGAAAUCAUCCUGGAGUUUGGUCAAGUUUCUUAAUGCAGUGGUUUGGAUAGAGCUCUUAUGCACUGAGAAGUCAGUUUUCGAUGUCAGAUUCCUAAAAGGAAUUUAAUAAACGUGAGGAUAUCAAGUAAGAGAUACUAAGUGGAUAAAAAUGCAGCUUGUAGAAUUGGACACAAUAAUUGACUUCACAGACAGGAGAGAUGUUUUAUGUGGGAACCACAGACAAAUACUCACGUUUGUACUUCUGCUUCAGGGUGGCCCAAUAUCUCACUUCUAUCUUCCUUCUCAUGGCCCUUUCUGGAGUAUUCUUUUCUCUUCUGAUCAAACAUAUACAGAUUCAUAAAACUGACUUCAGCAUUCACACAUUUGAAUUGCAGCAUAAUGUUUAUCAGCUUGUGCUUCCAGUGGACACAUUUUGUAUCUCAAUGACUAUGGAAUUUGUGCAUUUGGAUUUGCUUUGAAUGCCCAGGCUACCCUGAUGCCCUCUGUUCUAAUCCACCAGAUAGACCAAGAAAACAAAUAAACAAUACAAAUCAAGACAUUAUUGUAUUACUGAAUGUCUGGACUUAAGAAACAGAUGGAGAAUGUGUUAAUAACAGAAUAAUCUUAAAAGUGUAUGGUGUUAUGUCUCCAUCACAUGUUCACAGCACAAAAUUUUUGAAAAAGAAUAUAUUCUUCCAAUACUUGAAAUAAUCCAUUAAGCAGUCACUCAUGUAUUAAAAAGUGAGUGAAAUUCCAAUAUACAUCUUUGUCGCUUCACUAUCCUAUUUGUUUAAGAAGAGGAAAAUUGCCAAAGGUCAUAAAAUAUGAGAUGAGCAGACAUUUUACUAGACAUACAGGUAGCAAAUAAACCCAUGAAAAACUACUCAUCAGGAAUCCCUAGGGAAAUGCAAUUAAAUCAAUAGUGAGACACCACUACAUAUUAUUUAAAAGGGCUAAAUUAAAAAUGAUAAACCAGUAACACAGAUGGACCCAGAGAAUAAGUGAAAUAAGUCAGACUGAGAAAUACCAUAUGAUCUCACUUAUACGUGAAAUCUAAAGAACAGAAUAAAAGAGCAAACAGAAAUACGUGGUGUGAUUAAAAAAUACGGUGAAUGUUUAAAUGGAAAAAAAACUACAGUAAAAGAUACAUUGCCAUUAAUCCCCUUCAAAGUACUUCCCCUUGUUUCGAACACACUUAUCCCAUUGUUCUUGCCACUUUCUCCAGCAGUUCUGGAAGUCCUCUUUAGUGUCUUUAGUUGUGUUGUCAUGACUGCCUUGAUGUCCUGAAUCAUUUUGACUUUGCGGAAGAACCAAAAAUUGCACAGUGCCAGAUCCAGUGAAUAAGGUGGAGGACACACCGUUUUUAUUUCACAGAAACUGCCAUAUACCAGAAGCAAUGUGUGACAGAGUAUUGUCAUGAUGGAGGAUGAUUUACAACACACUUUAACACACUUCUUUCAACAGUAGCUCACACCUGACUGCAUUGAGCAAGUCGAAACUUGUCACACAGUUAUUAAGGUUCAAUGUGCCACUUCCCGUAUUGAAGAUCCCUGCCUAUCCAUUGGAUGGCACUCAGCAGCAGCAUUCACUGCAUUUUCUGAUCACAACGAAAAGGUUCCAUGUCACACAUUGCUUCUGAUAUAUGGCAACAAUGUCAGAGGGGUAGUAGGCUUGAGGGAGUAUCACGUUGUGAGGGGUAUAAAUGUCUAAUCAUGUUGUUUUGUACAUCUGAAACUAAAAAAUAAAAUUUAAAUUAAACCAAACCAAGUAUUCACAAUGAUGUGGAGAGAUGGAACUCUCAUAAACUGCUGAUAAGAAGGCAAAAAGGCUCUGGGUGGUUGUUGUCAUGCAGCAGCCUACCCAUCUGUCCCCUCAUACCUACCUCUAAAGAAAGGAGUCUGUGAGACUAAUCCUUUCAGGGACUUUGCUUCACCUUUGUGUUUACACCUCAUGUCUCCCUGUUUGGCCCCAGAGGAUGGCUGGUUAGCCAAUGACGAGUAAGAUUCCCCACUGAGGGGACAGACAACUCAAGCCAGGCACAGCAGAGUGGGGACCAGCAGGACAACCCACAGAGUUGAUAGAGGUGGGUAUAGACCCCCACCUUCCCCCGGUUAAGGAGAGCCUCUGCCUUUGUGGCUGCAUUCCUUCCCACAACCUGCUUGGGAAGAGAUUCAAUGGUGUAAUAACAUCAGUUCUCCAUCUAUCCAUUUCAGUAAGUUUCAGCAUAAAGGUUUUGUCUCUUGGGGAGGUACAUUUGAAACUGACGGUUCAGCUGUUUGCAGGCAAGGGUAAUUAGUUCAAAUCAGUUUCUUAGUAUGUGUGAAAUUCACAGACCUUGGAGAAAACAAUGUUGCUUCCUUGUGUGUGCAUCAAUAAAAGCCACAAGGUGGCCCCAUUCGGGGCUCUCAGUCCUUUGAGGCUGUGAGACCCUUGGCCCCCACUUCAUAACUUUAUUGAUUUGUUUCUUACUUUUUCAACCUUUUGCCUCCCCUUCUCGUUCGCUUACUGCCUGUGUUGUGCUGGAUGUGACAGGUGGUGAACACACAAUGUGAUUUAUAGAGGAUGUAAUACAGAAUUGUAUACCUGCAAUUUAUAUAACUUUACUAACAAUUGUCAUCCCAAUAAACUUUAAUUUAAAAAAAUGCAGAAAGGUACAAUCAUUUCAAAUCAUCAUUUGUUAGUUUCUUUAAAAAUGACGCAGACAGUGUGGCUGAUAGCUCAGUUGGUUAGAGCGUGAGCUCUGAAUAGGGUUGCCGGUUCGAUUCCCUCAUGGGCCAGUGAGCUGCACCCUCCACAACUAGAUUGAAGACAACGAGCUGCUGGGGAGCUGCUGGAGGGACGGCCAGAUGGCUCAUUUGGUUAGAGAGCCAGCUCUUAACAAUGUUACCGGUUCAAUUCCCCCAGUGGGAUGGUAGGCUGUGCGCCCUGCAACCAAAGAUGGAAAACGGCAACUGGACUUGGAGCUGAGCCGCGCCCUCCACAGCUACAUUGAAGGACAACAACUUGAAGCUCAGGGACCCUGGAGAAACACAGUGUUUCCCAAUAUUCCCCAAUAAAAUUAAAAAAAAGUGACUCAGACAUUACACUCUACUGACAAAAGAAUGAUGAAACAUAUAUCUAUAUAAAGAGCUGUACGUAUAAGUUUGUACAAGAUUUAAAACAGUCGAAAAAAUGCAAAUACUCAAAUGUCCCUAAAGAAAUGCACGGACAAACUAAUUACAGUAUAACCAAAAACAUUAAAAAAUAAAGUCGAGCUGAGCUUACGAGGUGGGGCAGUUAAGUUCGCAAACUCAUCCUAGAAAAAGUGCUACAUGCCCCAUUGCUGAAUAUCACUACGGUCACUUUCAAAGUACUCCCGUUGGGAAGGUAUGCACUGACGCCAGCACCUAGUCCACCCAUCAAAACAAUUUUGGAACUCUUUCUGGAAUGACCAUCAGAGCUGUCAUCGUAUUACCCUUGAUGUCCUGAAUGUCAUAAAAGUGUCUUCCUUUCAGUAUUUCCUUUAUCUUCGGGUAAGGAAAGAAGUCAUUGGGGGCCAGAUCAGGUGAGUAGGGAGAGUGUUCCAAUAGUUAUUUGUUUACUGGCUAAAAUCUCCCUCACAGGUAGUGCUAUGUGAGCUGGUGCAUUGUUGUGAUGCAAGAGCCAUGAAUUGUUGGUGAAAAGUUCAGGUCGUCUAAUUUUUUCAAGCAGCCUUUUCAGCACUUCCAAAUAGUAAACUUGGUUAAUUGUUUGUCCAGUUGGUACAAAUUCAUAAUGAAUAAUCCCUCUGAUAUCAAAAACAGCAACCUCGUUGCAACAAGUUCACGAACUUAAUUGUCAUACCUCGUGUAUAAAUUAAUCUCAAAGUAACAAGCAACAUAAAGGAAAUCAGAAAAAAAGUAAAUGCAAUGAUUAUCAUCAUAUAAAUUCUAGGAAACACAAAGGUAUCUAUACUAAGGGAAAAUAAAUCAAUGGUUAUUUGGAGGGCUGUGAAGGGCAGGGAGAGCUAUAAACAAACAUGAAGCAAAAAUACAGUGACAGAUUUAGUCAUCACCAUGACUAUGACGGUUUCAGCAUCAUAUGUAUGUCAAAACUUAUCAAAUACUACACUUUAAAUAGGUGCAGCUUAUUACAUGUAAAUUAUACCUUAAUAAAGCUUUAAAAAUGGCUCAAGGUGAAAAAAAAAUUUGUACAUCCUACUCUUUGGGAAAUAGGUUUGGCAACCUUAUGUUGACUCCACCACCUUUCUCCUAUUGCCCUCUGAGGGUCAGUCUUAUCUCAGGGGCAGCAAAUAUUAGCUAAUAAUAAAGGACAUCUCUACUUCAGUCAGCACGAAUUCUGGAUGGGUCACAAGAGCCACAUCCCUAGACUUUGUUUUAUCUUUGUUUUCCUACCUGUGCAAUAAUGGCCUUGAGGUGAUCAUUACUGAGAGGCUAUAGGAAUCCCCAAAACUUUUAUUUUCUCUAACAAAGACUUCAGCUACACAAGAUAAACUUGCCUAGAGGUCCUGAGGUUUGUGUACACACUGAUCCUGCACAGUCACAGUUACAGAAACAUUUGUCAAUUUUUGAAGAGGCACAUCCCAUCAAAUUGGCUAGUGUCCUGCAAUACUUACUAAUCAAGUGCUCUUUCAGUAGCAGUUAUGGUUUCCCUGAACCCCUUUGGUCUUAUAACCAGUGAUCAUCACCCACGAAAUUGUGAACAUCAGAGCACGUAGUUUUUUGCAGAACCUGUGGAAGGGAUUCCCUUCAACAUCCCGAGAUAUCCCCCGUGAACAAGGGAAAAAAAAAAUUCAUGUUGCUCCAAGAAGCACCUGAGAAUGUCAACUCUGAUCUCUCCCAGUCUCCUAAAACUCAUAGCAUCCAGGCUUCCAAUGAGGACCAGAAAACCCUGCAGUCUUUCCUAGGGCACUGGCAGGAAUAUAAAUUUGGCAAAAACUGGUGAGCUAUUUUCUGCCAUCAUACUGUCCCCCAUGAAGAACACAAAGCUGGAGAUCCCCAUAAAAAUUGUUCACACAUCACACUUGUGGAACCAAAAUAAAACAUCCCACACUGUAAACAGAAAUAAGACUUAAACAGUAAGGCAUUC